rnacentral:rRNA from 1 species
CAUUAUCUAUCAAAAAAGUCGGUCGCAAGGUGCGAGGCAUGAAAUACUGCCCCGGAUCAUCUUGGACGUCUGGACCCUUUGUCUUUGCGUACUGUAUGUUUCCUCGGUGGGUUCGCCCGCCGAUAGGACAUUUAAACCCUUUGUAGUUGCAAUCAGCGUCAGAAAAACUAUAAUAGUUACAACUUUCAACAACGGAUCUCUUGGUUCUGGCAUCGAUGAAGAACGCAGCGAAAUGCGAAAAGUAGUGUGAAUUGCAGAAUUCAGUGAAUCAUCGAAUCUUUGAACGCACAUUGCGCCCCUUGGUAUUCCAUGGGGCAUGCCUGUUCGAGCGUCAUUUGUACCCUCAAGCUCUGCUUGGUGUUGGGUGUUUGUCCCGCCUUACGCGUGGACUCGCCUUAAAGUGAUUGGCAGCCGGAAUAAAUCUGGGGAACGCAGCACAACUGCAGCCUCUAGAAUUAUACGCCGAGCGUCCAGUAAGCCUUUUAUUAUUGCGUUUGACCUCGGAUCAGGUAGGGAUACC